rnacentral:rRNA from 1 species
GAGUUUGAUCCUGGCUCAGGAUGAACGCUAGCUACAGGCUUAACACAUGCAAGUCGAGGGGCAUCAGUUUGGUUUGCUUGCAAACCAAAGCUGGCGACCGGCGCACGGGUGAGUAACACGUAUCCAACCUACCUCAUACUCGGGGAUAGCCUCUCGAAAGAAAGAUUAAUAUCCGAUAGCAUAUAUUUCCCGCAUGGGUUUUAUAUUAAAGAAAUUCGGUAUGAGAUGGGGAUGCGUUCCAUUAGUUUGUUGGGGGGGUAACGGCCCACCAAGACUACGAUGGAUAGGGGUUCUGAGAGGAAGGUCCCCCACAUUGGAACUGAGACACGGUCCAAACUCCUACGGGAGGCAGCAGUGAGGAAUAUUGGUCAAUGGACGCGAGUCUGAACCAGCCAAGUAGCGUGAAGGAUGACUGCCCUAUGGGUUGUAAACUUCUUUUAUAUGGGAAUAAAGUGGUCCACGUGUGGACUUUUGUAUGUACCAUAUGAAUAAGGAUCGGCUAACUCCGUGCCAGCAGCCGCGGUAAUACGGAGGAUCCGAGCGUUAUCCGGAUUUAUUGGGUUUAAAGGGAGCGUAGGCGGAUUGUUAAGUCAGUUGUGAAAGUUUGCGGCUCAACCGUAAAAUUGCAGUUGAUACUGGCAGUCUUGAGUGCAGUAGAGGUGGGCGGAAUUCGUGGCGUAGCGGUGAAAUGCUUAGAUAUCACGAAGAACUCCGAUUGCGAAGGCAGCUCACUGGAGUGUAACUGACGCUGAUGCUCGAAAGUGUGGGUAUCAAACAGGAUUAGAUACCCUGGUAGUCCACACAGUAAACGAUGAAUACUCGCUGUUUGCGAUAUACAGUAAGCGGCCAAGCGAAAGCAUUAAGUAUUCCACCUGGGGAGUACGCCGGCAACGGUGAAACUCAAAGGAAUUGACGGAAGGG